UGGGGAAUUUUGGACAAUGGGCGCAAGCCUGAUCCAGCCAUGCCGCGUGAGUGAAGAAGGCCUUCGGGUUGUAAAGCUCUUUCAGCUGGAAAGAAAUCGUACUUAUUAAUACUAGGUGCGGAUGACGGUACCAGCAGAAGAAGCACCGGCUAACUACGUGCCAGCAGCCGCGGUAAUACGUAGGGUGCGAGCGUUAAUCGGAAUUACUGGGCGUAAAGCGUGCGCAGGCGGCUUUUUAAGCCAGAUGUGAAAUCCCCGGGCUCAACCUGGGAACUGCAUUUGGAACUGGAAGGCUAGAGUGUAGCAGAGGGGGGUAGAAUUCCACGUGUAGCAGUGAAAUGCGUAGAGAUGUGGAGGAAUACCGAUGGCGAAGGCAGCCCCCUGGGCUAACACUGACGCUCAUGCACGAAAGCGUGGGGAGCAAACAGGAUUAGAUACCCUGGUAGUCCACGCCCUAAACGAUGUCAACUAGGUGUUGGGGAAGGAGACUUCUUUAGUACCGCAGCUAACGCGUGAAGUUG
rnacentral:rRNA from 1 species